UCGUGACCCGAGUGUGACCGUCCACUGCAGAGCAAGCAAAGAUCGGUCAGCCAUUGAGGGCCUGGCUGAGGCUGAGGAGGCGCUGAGACAUGGCGUGCAGCCUGCUGGUGGCGCCCCUCCCGAGAUGAGGAGUGAUGCUCGAGUGCAGUAACGUUUGCCCUCCUUCUCGCCUGCAAAAGGCCAAUGCAUCAACUGCUCGUGAAGUUACCAUUCCUCUGUAAUUAUCCGGGACCUGUUUUCCCGUUGCUCGUCCCAUUUUGUGUCACUAAUGACUUGUUGUUGUUGAGGUGUUCAGCUUAUCCGGUUACAUGAGGCUGGUAAAUGGCGACACAAAUGUCUUUAAUGAAGUUCAUCGAGAACGCUUUUCAAACACUCUUAGACUAUCCAGACGUCCUGAAAAUUUUGUGCGUCGAUCUUAAAGUGAAUGCGAUAAGAUUUGUGUUACAGUACCGAGCCAGCGUUAAUAUGACAAGCUCAUGUGAGAAAAAUUAAAUUCUUGGCGUCUGUUUUCCAAGUAUUGGCGAUUUUUAAAUGUUUUCGCUCCCGUGCACAGUUAUUCUGCUAAUAUCACUGUGAGCUUAUCUUCUGAUUUCAAUUUAUUAGAUGACUGAAUAUGUACGCCUCUGAAUUUCUUUAUCGUCACUGCGUCUAGAUUUGGGAGUCUAUUUCAACAACCAAAUCAGAAGUUAAAGUGGAGUCGGUGAAAACAAAGUUGGUUGAGUGCCACUACGGAAAAUACUGUAUAAUAAGGCACUUUAUUGCUAUCUUGAAUGGUCGAGGUCACUCCUGCACCCAUGAUGGGCAUAAUUUGGUCACUUCUUAGGAGUUAUAUGUUAAUGGAGCAAUUAUCUUUAUCUUUUUGCACACUUAAAAACUGCAUAUCUAAGUCAAACGGAAGCAGUACAGAAUAGACUCAGUCUUUUAAGUAUAUUGGAAGCGUUUGUAGCUGCGGGCAGCGGCCGUAAACAGUGGCACGUAACCUAUAGAAGGCAGAUCACCCUGACUGUCUUCAGCUCGCCUAUUGAUCGUUAGGUUUCAACGAGUACAAAAUAGCUUCACUCGUUCUGUGUCCUAAUAUUUUUGUGAAUAACUUUUUUAGAUUUAAAUUUAAAGUUGCCUGUAACCUUCAGAACCGCAACGCCCAGAUGAACUCUCGAUAAUGAUCAUAUUAUUCAUGUCGAUGUCAUUGCCUGUUUAAUCGCUAGACUUUCGGAUAUUUCAUGUAAAUAGUUCAGUAUUUCUUUAAAUUCUGUUAUUUUAUUAUGUAAACCUUAAAAUUCCUACUCUUUGUCGGGUGGGUGAGUCUUUUUUCCAUUGUAAUAUGUGCGCAUUUUCGGUUUUCCUAUGGAAAAAUAUAAUUUAUGAUUAGUUAUUUCAUUUCUUGGUGGUGAUGUCGUGAAGAUUGAUUUUAGUUUUCUGUUUUUUUUUUCACCGAUAGAGCUGCGUUAUAUUCGCUCAAUACCCAGCGAGGAAAAUUAUACAGUGUUCCAAUGAAUCAUAUCUUAUUUUGAUAUGAAGAAGAAAUUAGUUAUUGCAAACGAGGGACAUGAAACUAUCGAUAAUUCAAGAAAACCAAACUAGAAAAAAAUUAAUGGAUUAAAAUAAAAGCUUGAUUUUUUUCUAAUUCAUGUGUGUUACCAUGUAAGUAAGUUCAUAAUCAUUACCUAGUAUGUCAGUCACAAAGCAAAUAAAAGUAUUGCUUGAACAAGGAAUAAGUUACGGUUCUGUUGAAUUCUAUGUACCUGCAGAUGUUGAGUAAACAUGGAAAUGGAA